UACGAAGGGGGCUAGCGUUGCUCGGAAUCAUUGGGCGUAAAGCGCGUGUAGGCGGCCCGGUAAGUCCGCUGUGAAAGUCCAGGGCUCAACCCUGGGAUGCCGGUGGAUACUGUCGGGCUCGAGUCCGGAAGAGGAGUGUGGAAUUCCUGGUGUAGCGGCGAAAUGCGCAGAUAUCAGGAGGAACACCAAUGGCGAAGGCAGCACUCUGGGACGUGACUGACGCUGAGACGCGAAAGCGUGGGGAGCAAACAGG
rnacentral:rRNA from 1 species